UACGGAGGGUGCAAGCGUUGUCCGGAUUUAUUGGGUUUAAAGGGUGCGUAGGCGGCUCAAUAAGUCAGUGGUGAAAGCCUGUUGCUUAACGAUAGGAUUGCCAUUGAUACUGUUGAGCUUGAGUACUGAUGAGGUAGGCGGAAUUGACAGUGUAGCGGUGAAAUGCAUAGAUAUUGUCAAGAACUCCGAUUGCGAAGGCAGCUUACUAAGGAGUAACUGACGCUGAGGCACGAAAGCGUGGGGAUCAAACAGG
rnacentral:rRNA from 1 species